rnacentral:lncRNA from 1 species
AAGAAGUCAGGCCGGUUUAAGCCAUAGCACGGUAAGAGCUAUGCUGCCUGUGAGCCCCGUCCAAGGACGUAAAAUGAAGUCAGGCCGAAAGCCACGGCUUGAGCAAACCGUGCUGCCUGUGGCUCCAUCGUGGGGAUGUAAAAACCCGGGAGGCUGCAACCCAUGGAAGCUGUACGCAUGGG